GUGUAAUGCUGUAAGGCGAUGCGUUUAUUUGUUUGCGUUGAGUUGUUGCGGGAACUGUGGCACUCGUCUUGGAGAAUUCGCCCAAUACUUACCUUUGUCAUACACAGUCGGCUGGCCUCACUUAUGGUUUGUAGCAACGUCAUCUACCAUUUCUGCGAGACACCGUUUUAUUUUCAAGGCACACUAGAUUUGGUCAUGCAACGUAGUGCCAAAUCGUUUGUCGGUGUAUUAGUGAGGAAGACCACUAUAAGCCCAUCUGUUAUAUACACUCACUAUUUAAUUUACAUGAAAUAUAGCUGGAAAAAAGUCAUAAUUGGUUGAUGACAAGCAGUGUAACGCUCAACUAUUUGUUUUGGAUCUGUAAAACAUAUAAAAUAUGAGUAAUAAUAGUUCAUCAGUAAUGAGCGACUCAUGUUUCCUAGAACAUCUCAGAAUGCAGGCAAGAGGAAUUUCGAAAUGUCGUGCAUUCAUAGCGAGCGAGCGUUAUCAAAUUAAGAUAGUUUUCUUGACAGCCACGAUGUCUUGCGUGGCGGAUGUUGAUUAUCAUCAUAUUUCCGUAAGCGAAAAAAAAUGGUUAAAAUGAAAUUUGUACUAGUAUAAAAGGCACAACUAUACCAACAAAUUGUAGUUAAAGUAUCAAAGAUUUUGUUGUUGGCCUGCAUUCUAUUAUCAGUAAUAAUACGGAAUGGAAUAGGGUCAAAGUCUGAGUGGGUCAAGCUGAUUAGGAAGUUACACGUGGCAAGAUUAGAAUUCUAUUCAAUGGAUUUAAAACCAAACGAUUCGAAGUAACGCUCUUAUCAUCUCAAUUGUUAUAAAGUUGCAUUAAAGCAACGUAUUUUCUUUCCUUUAAAUGCUUGGAUGCCAUCGUUUUAGAGUUUUUUUUUAAUUUUGUUGCUCAAGAUUUCAGUACAAUGCUAUUUACAGAUAGCCGAUUCAACAAAUCAGAUUUUACGCAAUACAUUAUUUGGACAGAAAAAAAACAAAUGAUGAAUUUUCAAUAAAAUAGUACAAAUACAGCUCUUUGUUUCUGCAAAGCAAAACUCCAAGAUGAUGCUUUUAUUUAAUGCUCAAUCAAAGUAUAGAAACAUUGCGAAGAUCAGCUUAGCAGCUAUUUCUUUACUCAUCACUGUUGUGGACAGGCGUGCCGAGCCCUGGACUCGUCGUAGCAGUUGCGCUCGAUCGCUGAACGUUGCGCUCACGCACACUACGACGCACACACUAGCGAUACGUGCUUUGUGUUGUGAGUUUGCGCAAAGUGCACAAAAGGAAUUAGUGUGCAUCAGGCUGUAGGGCCGACGUGGAACGCCGUUUAUGCGAAUUUUUGAAUGACAUGGAUAGUGAGCCCAAGUAGAGUAGAACAUCGACUAUGCGGGGCGGAUUAAACGGCGGGCCGCUAAACCGUGGACAUAAAUUUGACAGCUGUUCAAGCGUGGAGAACAUUUGCAGCGUUGGUCAAGUUGCUAAACAAUAUUUAUGUGCAGCUAUUUAGUGUCUAGCGAUAUGUUUGAGCUUCAUUUGUGUGCAUGAACAAUUGUUAAACCUAUAGUUAUUGAUUUAAAUAAUGUUUUACUAGUGAUUAAUCGAUUAAUCGGCUAACGCCCGGUCCUAAGCUACACGGAUAAUCACACAAACAGUAAAUGUUUAUUUGCUACACAUUUUUUGGGAUUUUUUAAAAUAUUGGUAAAUGCACUUUUUUCAAAUAUCCUCCUCGGCAUGCAAUGUCAUCUGUGUCGUUUCUCAAUAACAAAGAUAUUGAGAUAAAGAUAUAUGGACAGCCGGAUAGACGGUACUCGGAUAACAGCGUCCUCCUUUUUAUUUUGUUAAUAAACUGAGUGAAUUCAAAACAUAAAAAUUACGCGUUAAAUCGAUACUAACCAUGCAGAUCGACAGAUUCUACAGACGGUAGUGCUUUUCGAUGAUUACCAACAGUCCCGUCAUUGCUCGACGACGGCCAUUUGCUUACCUGUGCAGCUGACUAAAUAAAUAGUAUCGUGCCAAUGUGUACGAUUGAACCGUUCCGACGUGUCUUACCCUUCUGAAAGCUCUCGGUGGGAUGGAAUUUACAAAACGCUUCACCUCACGGUGGUUGUGUUUCCUCCGGAAGUAGUGACAUGCCUUUGUUUCGCCCCGAAUGAAAGUAAAUUGUGUGUAAAUUGUUUAAAAUUGUAGAUUACACCAUCGCCCAAUUACGUCCGGAUGCAUGAAGCCUUUCCUACAUGAAGAUGUUUCCGUGCUCCAUGCCUCGUCGGAUCGCUGUACGGAGUCGCAGGAUGAUGAGCAGCUGCGUCCCAGAGCAAGAGGAAUCACCGCACGGGGUGACAUUUGAAUAUUCAAUGUAAUCACAACCGACCCCAUCCGACCAACAACGAUCUCAAAGGCGUUCAAAAACAAUUCAAUGCACUUGAAAAGAUUGCCCAAAGUUGCCUUCACCAGGAGCUUUGCGGCUAGAGAAAGAAAGAGCACCAUUGCUCCAGCACACUGGGCUAGUAUAAUGUAUUUUACGAAUUUUCAAAACCUUAUCCAGGAUCCAGACACCGGGAAGAGUGUAAGGACGGUCUUCAUUAGAGCUAAAUCGAUAACAAGGCUCAUCACGCUGCUGGCCUUCCGGCCUUCGUUGCUUCUCUACAAGUGGAUUUGUUGAUCCCUGAAAUCGGCAUAACGAUGAAACGUGUGCCGCUCAUCCCGGAUCCCUCCCUCCCCCACCCCCAGGAUAAAGGGGCUCUUGACAUCAAGCGGAAGUAGUAGGUCACGGGAAACUCGUCGAGAAUGUACCAAGUAGUGGGAUGGAAUUGUGCAAAAUAAAAAAAAAAU